rnacentral:rRNA from 1 species
GAUGAACGCUGGCGGCGUGCCUAAUACAUGCAAGUCGAGCGAACGGACGAGAAGCUUGCUUCUCUGAUGUUAGCGGCGGACGGGUGAGUAACACGUGGAUAACCUACCUAUAAGACUGGGAUAACUUCGGGAAACCGGAGCUAAUACCGGAUAAUAUUUUGAACCGCAUGGUUCAAAAGUGAAAGACGGUCUUGCUGUCACUUAUAGAUGGAUCCGCGCUGCAUUAGCUAGUUGGUAAGGUAACGGCUUACCAAGGCAACGAUGCAUAGCCGACCUGAGAGGGUGAUCGGCCACACUGGAACGGAGCCACGGUCCAGACUCCUACGGGAGGCAGCAGUAGGGAAUCUUACGCAAUGGGCGAAAGCAUGACGGAGCAACGCCGCGUGAGUGAUGAAGGUCUUCGGAUCGUAAAACUCUGUUAUUAGGGAAGAACAGAUGUGUAAGUAACUGUGCAGAUAUUGACGGUAACUAAUCAGAAAGCCACGGCUAACUACGUG